AGUCGAACAAGAACGUGGGGGCAACUCCACUAGUAAAGUGGCAGACGGGUGAGUAACACGUGAACAAUCUACCCUCGAGUGGGGAAUAACACCGCGAAAGCGGUGCUAAUACCGCAUAACAUCUCCGGGUCGCAUGGUCUGGAGAUCAAAAGCGAAAGUUGCUUGAGGAGGAGUUCGCGCCUGAUUAGCUAGUUGGUGAGGUAACGGCUCACCAAGGCAACGAUCAGUAGCCGGCCUGAGAGGGCGAACGGCCACACUGGAACUGAGACACGGUCCAGACUCCUACGGGAGGCAGCAGUGGGGAAUUUUGCGCAAUGGGCGAAAGCCUGACGCAGCAACGCCGCGUGGAGGAUGAAGGCCCUCGGGUCGUAAACUCCUGUCAGUGGGGACGAAUGCCUCGCAAGAGGUUUGACUGUACCCGCUGAGGAAGCCACGGGUAACUCCGUGCCAGCAGCCGCGGUAAUACGG
rnacentral:rRNA from 1 species